rnacentral:ncRNA from 1 species
UUUAUCAAGAAAGACUGAGGGACUGGCCCUAUGAAGUCUGGCAACCUGAAUUAUAUAUCAUUAGUAUAGUUUAAGGUGCUAAAUCCUGCAGAUAUUUUUAUCUGAGAGAUAAGA